AACAAUUUUCGAUCUCUGUGU
rnacentral:miRNA from 1 species